UAUAACCAGACGCUGUGUCGGGCCGCAGCGGCAGCGGAUUGUGCGAGCGCGGCGAGCGUCGCCUGCGCGCAGCGCCCCGCAACACGAGGGUCUAGGUUUCAAGUGGGCGGAGCGAGCGUGACGUCAUAACUUUGUAACGUAAACAAUCGUAGAACAUUUUGUUGAUACAUGUACUAAGGCGACUGUUGUUUCUGUGACUGAACGUGACGAGUGCCCGCGCCGCGACUGACACGCCGACGACACGCCGGCGACUCGUCGGCGACACCUGGCGACACGCGACCGCCGGUGACACUGGCGCCAUCUAGUCGCACCGAGCUCUGGCCGCCACGCGCCGGCCUUAACACCUCUGCAAAUUAUCACCGAGUACAAAAUUGCCAAAAACCCGUUUAUUUCGACUUCUGCAAUAUCGCAUAUCGGUGUGGAGUUUCCAUUUUUCGGUCACAAUGGGCGCUCGAGUCGAUUUUCAGAGGUGAAGGGGAUUUUUGUCCCCAAAUGCAAUGCCUGUCUCACUUUUUGUGUGUUACUCGCACAUUCCUUAAUAUUUAAAUUCAUUCGAGCGCACAUUGUUUUUUCCAUCGUAAUUUCACAAAUUACAUCCGGUCUUUGUAAUUAGUUUUAGUUUAGCGUUGGGGUAAAUUCAUAAAAAGAUUUUAAAACUAGUUUUGAAAACUUCAUGACUCUUCGUACAAAAGAAUACAUAUUGGGCUUCGAACGCCUUGUAUUUUCAUCAUCAUUGAUAUUGUGGUAAUAAUCAUGUUAUUUUACUAUACGUUAUUGAAUUUUCUAUCGGUCAUAUUGAAACGGUCUAGUUGAUCGUUACUCUAUAGGGUACUUAUCGUUAUUUUUCACAAACGUUGCUGAUUUAGCAAAAUGUUGUAUAGAUAAAUAUCAAUUUUAUAUUUGUAUAUAAUUAUUUUUCUUGUAAAAAAUCAAUCAAAUAGAAUUAGAUCUGUGAAUUUUAAGUGGACGUCUACAAAAACUUAUAUUGGGUUUGAAGCCCACCAAAAAUAAUUAUAGAGAAGAUUCCAUUUAGUUCACGCGUACUAACCAGAUCAUUUUGGCUAUGAGGAUUAUUUGGGAACGCUCUGUACAGGCGGAUCGCUCCAUUAUAUCGCUGUGUUAAAAUAUGGGAUACAAAUAUAGUGGAAGACGCGUGAUUCUCGCUUUAGAAUCUUUAGACCCACGUCCCACAACCAAAAAUGGCGUAGAUCUAUCAAUCACUUCGUCUUUUAGAGUAUUGUGAAUGGAUUUUCUUUUCUAUCACAGUUUUUACGUAUUUAUUUUAAUACUUGUGUUUUUAUUAGCACAAUAUAAGUUUAUUAUAUUGUGCGACACAACUUAAGUAUUUAUAUUUGAAUCAUUUUUCCAAGCAAAAACGAUAAAAUGAUGUUUCGUGGCCACACGUAUUCAUACCUGGGAGCGGGAAGUUUUCCUUAUUUUUCAUUGAUUUAGUAAAUACGGUAGAGCAGUAAAUAUCUAAAUCUGUCUCUACCUUUGUGUCACUCUUCGUUUUUUGCGGUAAAGUAAAAGUUCUAGUUUUUGACAACUUGAUUCCCACAGUUGGCAAACCGUAACUCAUUUUGAAUUACAACCAUUCGGUCACACAACGCAACGGGACAGUUAUACUUAUUGACUAAGUACUUGUAUUUUGUCGCUGCGAUGUCAGAGGGCCAUCACGCUCAAUUCUUUAAAUCGCUGGCACCUUUCUUUGUCCUUCUAAUGACGCCUUAAUUGGAGUGAAAGAGGAAGAUGUCCUCUUUUUUGGACUAGUGUGUUCGCGUUAGGCCCUCAGUCGGCCCGCCUGUACCGCUCGUUCAACUUGCAAGCCUCCCGCUUCAUAUCAUCAAGUUUUAUUUAUUAUCAUAGUCUACGCCGGUGACCCCACAGACUAACAUCGUAUUCUUAAGUAUUGAUAUGGAAUAUUCUAUGAUCUCACUUCAUUGUCACACACCCAUCUUCAGUAAUUUGUCAUUGCAGUAGACUUGUUCAUUAAAUUAUUUAUUAAAUUAUAUUCGACUCGGUCGCAGUAAUAUGGGAGUGGUCAUUGUUGUGUAUAAAUCUUGAGAUCAACAAUAUUAUUAUUUAUUUUAGAUAGAGUGAAAUGACUAUAAUAAUUAAUAUAUUAUUGCGAAUUAAUAUAAAUUUAUAAUUUUUUUAUUUUUAAUAUAUUGACAAGUCGAAUGACAAAAUUACUUUAGUGGUAUUUAAUUUAUGUGGACAUUCACAUACCAAAAAUAAAUACUUAUUAUACACUGUAAAGGACAAUAUGGUAAUGUGUCGAUACAAAAUCUUGCAAGGGGAAAACAACUAUAAGAGUACACAUAUUUUGUUAAAACUAUUUUACCUUGUAUAAAUUGUUAAUUCAUUUUGAGAAGAGCGAAUGGCCUUGUAUAUUAUGUAUGUUCAACAAUUUUGGUGACGACGCAAUAGUCCGAAGUCACCCUCAGACUUCGGGCGCGUGAUUUUAAUAAUUGCAUUAAAUCUUAUUGUAAAUUGUUUUAGGUAUGAAUGUUAUCUAAGGAUAGUUGUAACGUAUUAUCAUUUGUAAGUAUAACAUUUAUUUUAGAAAUGACAGUCUGAUCUCUUAAGGUAAUAUGCGUGUGAUGGGGCGUGCCAGUCGGGUUUUGGUGAUGGCCUAUCGCGGAUCAACCUAAAUUAUAAAUAUACUUAAUAUCACUAAAGUUCUACAUAUUGUGAGGUACACCUCUUUAUAGGUACUACUCGUUUAUUGCAUCUCUUAAAACCUAGCGUAUCAACAUUGAAUGUUAUCGCUAUCGCUACGCUUAAACUUAAUAGAAGAGAGCUGGCUGGUUAUAAACCACGUGAUAAUUUUUCUGCCAGCUCCUAGUCUAUGAAUCUCGACAACUUUUAUUGAUCUCGAGGAGAAAUUAAAUCUUAAAAGCGACUUAAAGACAAACAAAAAGAUCUCAAACGCGUGAUGUUUCAUUUUGAAAGCUAGCAAAAUGCAUUAAAAUACAGAUGGUAGAUUUGAAGGUCGUUUUUGACCAAUUUACACAUAUUUUCCAAUUCUAGGUUGGUCCGCGAUAGUACAUCCUUAGAAGACCUAACACCUCCAAAUACUUGUGACGCCUAAGACCUGUGUGCCUCUGUCAAUCCUGCCUCAAAGAUAUCAACAAACUAUCAGUUUCAAAUUAUAUUACUAUCACAAAACUAUAUAUUUAUAUUUAAUUUAUUUUAGAACAGUGCUUUGUCAAUCUUGUUAUUAUACCAAUGUGUUGCGAUACUUCAUUCAAGAACUUGUGCGAAUGCCUGGAUGAUUUAUAUUUGCUGUUCUGAGUGAAACAUUUUAAUAUUACACUCGAAGAUAAUUAAAAAUAGAAGCCUUGUCCAUUAUUAAAUAUAUCGUUUAGCUAGAGAAAAUAUAGUUGGCGAAUCCAUCCUUUACUUGAUCUAAUUUAACUGCACUUAUUUCUCGUGACUUUCAGAUAUUUUUAACCUUCAGUCUAUUUUCGUAACUUUACUUAACGUGUACGAAAUGAGUCAGGGCAGAAGGUUUAAAAAUUUUAAAAUAAUUUCAAUUUUGUAACAAGGCCUUAUUUUCAUAGAAUUUUGGCGCGUUUUCUAUUAACAUUUUCAGCUGAUUCAGAAAUUGUCUGUGGUCGACCUAUAAGAUCUCAGAAAACGCGCAAUUCACUAUGGAAAUGAGUACUUAUUGCCGUAGCCUAGCUGUCAGAAUGCUCCAUUAGAAUUUUGAAUUAUUAUCUCUGGUCUGCUCAGUUCGAGUAGACACUAGGUUAUCGUAGAACUCAUGUUUCAUUUGCGAUUGCCGAGUGUGUGGGUGCAAGCGGCGACGGGACGCUUUAAGAGUACAAAUUCUGUAUAAGCCCCUACUUGAGUGUUAAUUCUAAAUGUUAAUUUUUAAAAACACGAAACAGGGAGACGGUAUCGGUGUACGAUGUACGAAAAUUAGUGUAUUUUAGCGCGCGGGCGACAGUAGUGGCAAUGGAUCCAGUCAUCUGCCUUCGGUGUUGUCUCUUUCUUAAAUAAAUUGUCUAUCCUAUCGCUACAGUGAGUUUAAGUUGCUAUUUCCUACUUGUUCUAUUCUGUGAUUCUGUCACACGUAGUUUAAGAGCCACUGCUCUAAGGGGCUAUGUCGAAACACGAUGUGCCUUCUUUGGCUGCCUUUCUACCGCUUGAAGAAUUUGCAAGAGCGAUAGAGAGGAAGAUAAAGGCAUUUGGAGUUUCGUGUUCCGCUGUAGGCUCCCUGAGUUAACCCGACAGUCACUGUAUCGAUAGGGUAUUUGUACGUGCGUGCACUGUACGCGCGCACUCUUUACUAGAUAAGAAAUGUGUUAUUAGAAUUGAAAUUGCAAUAAAUUGUCCUGCCGGCCAAUACUAGCAAUCCUGCUUGAACUUGCCUCUGUAAAUUAAAAAUUUUAGUCCGGCGUGUAAAAAAUAUCAGUACGAUUGUAAAUAUUGGAGCCAAAAUUUUUAUACAAAUUAUUUCAUAAAUAUAUUGUCCGGUGAGUUUGAGGUGGGGUUGCGAGAUUGGCCGGAAAAUGCGCCGUCACGAACUCGUGUCGUGGUUUCUGAACGAAUAUCAAAACCGAAUGAUACUACUCAAACGUAUCCCUCUUAAAUCCGCCAAUCAGGUCCAUGCCCUCCUCAACACCCAAUCCGAAAAAGUUUACAUUUGAGUAGUAUCACGGAAUUCACGGAACCCAGCUUAUAAUUUUUGAGCACCAAAGCAAUGCGUUCUGGUAUCAGUAUUACAAAACAGCAUUGUGCAAAUCAUUAAAUUCUACGAAACACGUGUAACAAAAUUAGACUGGUAUCUUUCUUUAGGUAAAAAUGGUGUUAAACCGUAGAAUCUAACAACUUGCUACUGCUGAUGAUUUAAAGCAUACUUUUUAAAUACACGUCAGAAAACAUCGGCUAUAAAUUUUCUGAAGGUUUUUUGAUAAUUUCUUAUUGUUUUAAUGUGUUGUGUAGACUCUCCUGGCCCCGUAGCCGAAUGGCAUUUCUCCGACGCCAAACGAAAACGAAACGCCGCGCCAGUUAGUCGGGCUCUGUCGCGCCAAUAUGCAAGAGCGAUAGAGAUAGAUAUCUACUAGCGUUUCGUUUCGUGAGCGUUUCGUUAGCGUUUGUGCCAUUCGGCUACGCACCCUGGACUAUCCAGUUAACUGCUCAAUAUAGGUAGUCUCACUUUCACUCCAAUGAAAUCCAUAUGAGAUGAUAUCGGGUGGAACACUCACUUUUUUUAAAUAUUUCGUUCAGAAACCGGCGGAGUGCAAGCGACGGUUCUGUCUGAGUAGGCAAACAUUAGGUACCGCGACAACUGCUGAUGUGACUUGGCAGCAAUAUUCAAUGUAUUUGACGAACGUGGCACAUAUAAUUUACUAUAUGUAAAAAAGUUAUAGAACUAAUUUAAUAAAAUUAUAAAUAAAUAA
rnacentral:lncRNA from 1 species